GAAAUAAAGUGGAUGACUCGACUAAAAGGUACGUCUAACAGGAAUAAAAGAAAAUGACUCGACUAAAAGGUACGUCUUCUAGGGGUCAAGGGGAAUGACUCGACUAAAAGGUAUGUCUUAUAGGAAUUAAAGGGAAUGACUCGACUAAAAUGUAUGUCUCCUAGGAAUCAAGGGAAAUAAAUUAACUAAAAGGUACGUCUGCUAGGAGUCAAAUGGAAUGAUUCGACUAGAAGGUACGUGUUUUUGGAGUGAAGGUUCAAUUUAAGAAGUGUAUCACCCAGAAAAUGAAAACCGAAAUCCCUGGACAAGAAAGUAUGUCUCCGAGGGAUAUAAGAUAAUGAACUUUUACCAUAAUUUAAUUAUCAAACCUGUGCAGUAACAUCGCUUCUUGCAUUUGUAAAAGUAAGAAAUUAUGGGCUUUGAUGUUUAGGCUUUGAAAUCCUUAAUUUGAAGGUAAUAUGUGUUCCUGUUUCAUGCAAAGAAAAGUUACGAGUUUAAAAAUAUGGAGGCAGGUUUUUGGCUUUGGCUUUCGUGGCAAACACUGUUGCCGUCAUCAUAUUUAACCUUGCUUCCAACCAUUACAUAUAUCAUUGACUUGAUGCAUCAUUAACCCAAACUCAGAUUAUUAAGAGUGACUGAAACAAACAUGGUAUCUCUGCUUUUCCAUGCUUCUCAAAUAAACCCUUUGAACCUUGUUAUUUUCAUGAGUUUCCAGACAAUUGACAAAAGUUCUUGCAUGCCUUAUUUCAGCUCACAAUCAUGUCUUUUUCAUGUGCUGACUUUUGUCUUGCUCUGUGCAAUU
rnacentral:lncRNA from 1 species